rnacentral:rRNA from 1 species
UCAGAGGGGGGUAGANUUCCACGUGUAGCAGUGAAAUGCGUAGAGAUGUGGAGGAAUACCGAUGGCGAAGGCAGCCCCCUGGGAUAAUACUGACGUUCAUGCUCGAAAGCGUGGGUAGCAAACAGGAUUAGAUACCCUGGUAGUCCACGCCCUAAACGAUGUCAAUUAGCUGUUGGGGCACUUGAUGCCUUAGUAGCGAAGCUAACGCGUGAAAUUGACCGCCUGGGGAGUACGGUCGCAAGAUUAAAACUCAAAGGAAUUGACGGGGACCCGCACAAGCGGUGGAUGAUGUGGAUUAAUUCGAUGCAACGCGAAGAACCUUACCUGGUCUUGACAUGUACGGAAUCUUCCAGAGACGGAAGAGUGCCUUCGGGAGCCGUAACACAGGUGCUGCAUGGCUGUCGUCAGCUCGUGUCGUGAGAUGUUGGNNNNNNNNNNNGCAACGAGCGCAACCCUUGUCAUUAGUUGCCACCAUUUAGUUGGGCACUCUAAUGAGACUGCCGGUGACAAACCGGAGGAAGGUGGGGAUGACGUCAAGUCCUCAUGGCCCUUAUGACCAGGGCUUCACACGUCAUACAAUGGUCGGUGCAGAGGGUAGCCAAGCCGCGAGGUGGAGCCAAUCUCAGAAAACCGAUCGUAGUCCGGAUUGCACUCUGCAACUCGAGUGCAUGAAGUCGGAAUCGCUAGUAAUCGCAGGUCAGCAUACUGCGGUGAAUACGUUCCCGGGUCU